ensembl:lncRNA
AGUACACCAGUGAAAUGAGGAGCACUAUCUCCCUACCAGCACAUUUCCACUGAGUGAGAGAGAGAGAAUAAGGGAAGGAGAAAUAAGGCGAAAGGUGUGUUACUACAGUUAGCUAGCUGGCUAUGGCUAUCUAACAUUGGAACUCGUCAAGAUUGACAAAAAGAGCGUGAUCAUUUGUGUACAGCUGCAACCUCAACACCAGCUUUGUCAUCACUGUGAACCUCAGUAAAGACAGCCCAACCAUGGAUCAGAAAAUCAAUGAAUGCCCCACCACCACCUCCCCCCAGAAACAGAUGAAGAGUAGGUCCAAAUCCACCGAUGAGAUCCAGCACACCAAGAGGCUUUCAUCACAGAAAUCCCUUCCCGGUGGGUCUGACCUGGACAAAGUCAAGGAAGGCCCAGAAGGUUCUGAGACUCCCUCGUCCUCCACAGAGGAGCUGAAGUGAUGACGGCUGGGGUCCCUAAGGGAAAUAAGGCCAUGAACCUUCCAUCUGCUCAUUAAACAUGAACACAUACUGUACACACACAUAGACUCACAUACACACACACACACACACACACAGUCACAUCCCUACACACACUGAAAAAUGCAAACACUGAAUUGAUAAACUGAGUUGGUGGAAAGUCAUGUGAUAGACAUUAAUUCUGAAUGGUUAAGUUAAGGGUUAGGAUUUGGGAUAGGUUUAAAACAAAACAUUUAAAAUGUGUUUCUACCACUGGGAGAUAACAUGUAGCAUUCGGAUUCAGGGUCAUGGUAUUAUGUCCAUUAUGUCUCAUGGGAUUAUGUCCACACCGCUGUAGCAAAACCCAAGCCUACUUGUUAGUAAUAGUGCUCAUUUUGAAGUCAAUCUGCAGCGAUCUGCCUACACACACACACACACACACACACAAUGACAACAAGAACACAAGAAAUGGGCACAUGUGGUGAUCCUGUAUCAUUGUACUGUGAGUUAUCUGUACAUACCAAACUGAAUGUGCAUUCUUCACAAUAAAGCAGUGCUGUUGAGUGG